rnacentral:rRNA from 1 species
UAAUUUUCCCUUAAAUUAAAAAUUUAUAUACCGCCCUCUAAAAAACUAAUUUUAUAAUAAUAUUUUAAAAAAAAAAUAAAAAGUUAGGUCAAGGUGUAAUCAACAUUUAAGUAAAACAUGGGUUACUUUAAAAAUAAUUUAAGGAUUUUUAUAUAAAAAUAUUUUUUCAAAAAGGAUUUAAAAGUAAUAAUAAAAUAAUAUUUUAUUAUGAUUAAGAUAAUAAAUGUGU